rnacentral:rRNA from 1 species
CCUACGGGCGGCAGCAGUGGGGAAUAUUGGACAAUGGGGGCAACCCUGAUCCAGCCAUGCCGCGUGUGUGAAGAAGGCCCUCGGGUUGUAAAGCACUUUCAGUGAGGAAGAACGCCUGGUGGUUAAUACCCAUCAGGAAAGACAUCACUCACAGAAGAAGCACCGGCUAACUACGUGCCAGCAGCCGCGGUAAUACGGAGGGUGCGAGCGUUAAUCGGAAUUACUGGGCGUAAAGCGCGCGUAGGUGGCUUGAUAAGCCGGUUGUGAAAGCCCCGGGCUCAACCUGGGAACGGCAUCCGGAACUGUCAAGCUAGAGUGCAGGAGAGGAAGGUAGAAUUCCCGGUGUAGCGGUGAAAUGCGUAGAGAUCGGGAGGAAUACCAGUGGCGAAGGCGGCCUUCUGGACUGACACUGACACUGAGGUGCGAAAGCGUGGGUAGCAAACAGGAUUAGAUACCCGGGUAGUC